AUUGAACGCUGGCGGAAUGCUUUACACAUGCAAGUCGAGCGGCAGCACGGGGGCAACCCUGGUGGCGAGCGGCGAACGGGUGAGUAACACAUCUGAACAUGCCCAGUCGUGGGGGAUAACACUUCGAAAGAAGUGCUAAUACCGCAUACGUCCUGAGGGAGAAAGCGGGGGAUCGCAAGACCUCGCGCGAUUGGAGUGGCCGAUGUCAGAUUAGCUAGUUGGUGGGGUAAAGGCCUACCAAGGCAACGAUCUGUAGCUGGUCUGAGAGGAUGAUCAGCCACACUGGGACUGAGACACGGCCCAGACUCCUACGGGAGGCAGCAGUGGGGAAUUUUGGACAAUGGGGGCAACCCUGAUCCAGCCAUUCCGCGUGAGUGAAGAAGGCCUUCGGGUUGUAAAGCUCUUUCGGCAGGAACGAAACGGUGAGCUCUAACAUAGCUUGCUAAUGACGGUACCUGAAAAAGAAGCACCGGCUAACUACGU
rnacentral:rRNA from 1 species